GACGAACGCUGGCGGCGUGCUUAACACAUGCAAGUCGAACGGAAAGGCCCUGCUUUUGUGGGGUGCUCGAGUGGCGAACGGGUGAGUAACACGUGAGUAACCUGCCCUUGACUUUGGGAUAACUUCAGGAAACUGGGGCUAAUACCGGAUAGGAGCUCCUGCUGCAUGGGGGGGGGUGGAAAGUUUCGGGGGUUGGGGAUGGACUCGCGGCUUAUAAGCUUGUUGGUGGGGUAGUGGCUUACCAAGGCUUUGGCGGGUAGCCGGCCUGAGAGGGGGACCGGCCACAUGGGGACGGGGAUACGGCCCAGACUCCUACGGGGGGCAGCAGUGGGGAAUAUGGCACAAUGGGCGGAAGCCUGAGGCAGCAACGCCGGGUGCGGGAUGACGGCCUUCGGGUGUUAAACCGCUUUCGCCUGUGACGAGGCGUGAGUGACGGUAAUGGGUAAAGAAGCACCGGCUAACUACGUG
rnacentral:rRNA from 1 species